CUCAAACCAACCUCCCUCUUCGCGACAUGACGACCCACGCGCCAAACCACCGUCCUUCCUACGCCUUCAGCUUCGCUCCGACCGCCGCACCGCCUCCGUUCACCCUAUUUCGAUGUCGCCAACGCCUUUCCGGCUCUCGCUUUUUAGAUCGGCGAUCGUGGAAAGAGAAAUCAUAGUGAACAGUGUUGAGCAUCAAGGUGGCACCUGCGUUUGCAGCCACCGAUUCGAUCGAAUUUGGAUUGAUUAGGCUUUGUAUGCAGCUUGGUGAGGUAUCAAGAAGCUGAGUUGAUUAUCCAAAUUUACCUUGACGGAUUUUGCUUCACCGAAUUCGUGAGGAAGUUUUUGCCAUUUGGGAAAUUUGAAAGUAGAAUUAUAGCUUUGAAUCUAAAGUUGAUUUUCUUGAAUUGGUGUAGUUAAAGCAGAAAUGUACCAUCUUUUAUUCUCUGAUCUGGUUUUGCAUGCUAGCUUUUAGGAAAUAUUUACUUUGUUCUUCAUUUUCUUUUAUCGCCACUCAAAUACCAGACAAUAUUCUCUCUUUGAGCUG